rnacentral:rRNA from 1 species
AUGACAGAAUAACAAUACAGGGCUAAUGUCUUGUAAUUGGAAUGAUGGUGACUUAAACCCUCACCAGAGUAGCAAUUGGAGGGCAAGUCUGGUGCCAGCAGCCGCGGUAAUUCCAGCUCCAAUAGCGUAUAUUAAACUUGUUGCAGUUAAAAAGCUCGUAGUUGUAUUUUUGCUUGGCGGUUUGUUGCCUUUGUGGCUGUAUCCCGCUUGGCUUUUGGCUUUUUGCCUUAUUACUUUGAGAAAAUUAGAGUGUUUCAAGCAGACUUUUGUCUUGAAUACUGUAGCAUGGAAUAAUAGAGUAGGACUUUGGUUCUAUUUUGUUGGUUUGGGAACCUUGGUAAUGGUUAAUAGGAACGGUUGGGGGCAUUCGUAUUUAAA